rnacentral:rRNA from 1 species
UAAGCAUAUCAAUAAGCGGAGGAAAAGAAACCAACAGGGAUUGCCCUAGUAACGGCGAGUGAAGCGGCAACAGCUCAAAUUUGAAAUCUGGCCCUAGCGGUCCGAGUUGUAAUUUGUAGAGGAUGCUUUUGGUUAGGUGCCUUCUGAGUUCCCUGGAACGGGACGCCAGAGAGGGUGAGAGCCCCGUACGGUUGGACACCGAGCCUCUAUAUAGCUCCUUCGACGAGUCGAGUAGUUUGGGAAUGCUGCUCUAAAUGGGAGGUAAAUUUCUUCUAAAGCUAAAUACCGGCCAGAGACCGAUAGCGCACAAGUAGAGUGAUCGAAAGAUGAAAAGUACUUUGAAAAGAGGGUUAAAUAGCACGUGAAAUUGUUGAAAGGGAAGCGUUUGCGACCAGACUUUUUCCAGGCGGAUCAUCCGGUGUUCUCACCGGUGCACUUCGCCUGGUUUAGGCCAGCAUCGGUUCUCUUAGGGGGAUAAAGGCUUGGGGAACGUAGCUCCCUCGGGAGUGUUAUAGCCCCUCGCGUAAUACCCUUCGGGGGACCGAGGAACGCGCAUCUGCAAGGAUGCUGGCGUAAUGGUCGUCAACGACCCGUCUUGAAACACGGACCAAGGAGUCGAACAUUUGUGCGAGUGUUUGGGUGUUAAACCCUCACGCGUAAUGAAAGUGAACGGAGGUGAGAGCCCUUCGGGGUGCAUCAUCGACCGAUCCUGAUGUCUUCGGAUGGAUUUGAGUAAGAGCAUAACUGUUCGGACCCGAAAGAUGGUGAACUAUGCGUGGAUAGGGUGAAGCCAGAGGAAACUCUGGUGGAGGCUCGCAGCGGUUCUGACGUGCAAAUCGAUCGUCAAAUCUGCGCAUGGGGGCGAAAGACUUAUCGAACCAUCUAGUAGCUGGUUACCGCCGAAG